rnacentral:miRNA from 1 species
UGAGAUCACUGUGAAAACCGAC